rnacentral:rRNA from 1 species
UUCCAGACUCCUACGGGAGGCAGCAGUGGGGAAUAUUGCACAAUGGGGGAAACCCUGAUGCAGCGACGCCGCGUGAGUGAAGAAGUAUUUCGGUAUGUAAAGCUCUAUCAACAGGGAAGAAAAUGACGGUACCUGACUAAGAAGCCCCGGCUAACUACGUGCCAGCAGCCGCGGUAAUACGUAGGGGGCAAGCGUUAUCCGGAUUUACUGGGUGUAAAGGGAGCGUAGACGGCAGCACAAGUCUGGAGUGAAAUGCCGAGGCUUAACCCCGGAACUGCUUUGGAAACUGUGCAGCUAGAGUGCAGGAGAGGUAAGUGGAAUUCCUAGUGUAGCGGUGAAAUGCGUAGAUAUUAGGAGGAACACCAGUGGCGAAGGCGGCUUACUGGACUGUAACUGACGUUGAGGCUCGAAAGCGUGGGGAGCAAACAGGAUUAGAUACCCGGGUAU